UACGUAGGGUGCAAGCGUUGUCCGGGAAUUUAUUGGGCGUAAAGAGCUCGGUAGGCGGUCUGUCACGUCGGCUGUGAAAUCCCGAGGCUCAACCUCGGGUCUGCAGUCGGAUACGGGCAAACUAGAGUAUUGCAGGGGAGACUGGAAUUCCUGGUGUAGCGGUGGAAUGCGCAGAUAUCAGGAGGAACACCAAUGGCGAAGGCAGAUCUCUGGGCCGUAACUGACGCUGAGGAGCGAAAGCGUGGGGGAGCGAACAGG
rnacentral:rRNA from 1 species